rnacentral:rRNA from 1 species
UGUUUCGGCUAGGGGGCCAUCCCGGCUUACCAACCCGAUGCAAACUGCGAAUACCGGAGAAUGUUAUCACGGGAGACACACGGCGGGUGCUAACGUCCGUCGUGAAGAGGGAAACAACCCAGACCGCCAGCUAAGGUCCCAAAGUCAUGGUUAAGUGGGAAACGAUGUGGGAAGGCCCAGACAGCCAGGAUGUUGGCUUAGAAGCAGCCAUCAUUUAAAGAAAGCGUAAUAGCUCACUGGUCGAGUCGGCCUGCGCGGAAGAUGUAACGGGGCUAAACCAUGCACCGAAGCUGCGGCAGCGAACGUAUCACUUAAAGCGAUUCAGCGGAUUACGAUUGACGGAGCGAAGCGACGUCAAAGCGUAUACAAAGUCGAGUCGGUUUAAGGAUACGUUCGUUGGGUAGGGGAGCGUUCUGUAAGCCUGUGAAGGUGGCCUGUGAGGGUUGCUGGAGGUAUCAGAAGUGCGAA